CCUCCUCUCUUCUAACAAAUUACAACGAACUCAACCGAUAGUCCUUAGAUGAAUACUCUUGGUUUUCUUCUUCAACAACAAAACGACAUAAAGACUUCAAAAACGACGAUAACGAAGAUGAUGACCAAAACGACGAUAAGCUUUCUGCGUUGUGAUAGUGAUUGCUCUGUUGCUACUACUGCGACUUCUUCGAGCAAUCGUGAGAUCGAUCUGAUACCUUCCGAAGCGGUUUCCUAUCUCCGAUGUAUCGCCGAUCUGAUGCCUUCCGAAGCGGUUUCCGAUCUCCGAUGUAUCACCGAUCUAAUACCUUCUGAAGUGGUUUCCGAUCUCCGAUAUAUCGCCGUUCUGAUAGCUUCCGAAGCGGUUUUCGAUCUCCUAUGUAUGGCCGAUCUUAUAUCUUCGCGAAUGUAUUCAAGUUUACGGAAGUGAGAGAAAAUCAGCUGUGGAUUUGAAAAUCAGCUGAGAAACUCGGAUUUGAGUUCAUCAUAGGACUUACAGCUCUUCUAUUGGCGACAUCAACAUUUAGGAAGAAGCUUGGUAAGCCAGGGUAUAUAAAAAAAAAUGAUUCAAUGGAACCACAAGAAGGAGAAGAAAGAGGAUGACUUGCCAACAGUAUUUGCUUUUUCAACCAUCAUUAAUGUCAGAAAUAAUUUCUCUUACCAAAACAAGUUAGGAGAAGGUGGCUUUGGAUCAGUAUAGAAGGCAAAGUCUUGGUUACUACCAUAGCAAGUUAAUUUCUUACCUUAAUUCACAAAAGUACUCAUGCUAACUUAAGAAUGUGAAAUUUGUUAGAUACUACGUGAAGUAAACUAUUAGAUUGGACAAAGCGCUUGCAAAUUAUUGAUGGGAUUGCUCGGGGGCUGCUGUAUCUCCACCAAGAUUCUUGCAGCGGAUAUAUGCCUCCAGUCCAGAGUAUGCAGUGCAUGGAUAUUUCUCAACAAAAUCUAAUGUUUUUAGCUUUGGAGUCGUUGUACUUGAGAUCAUUAGUGGUCAGAAGAAUCGCGGAUUUUGUGACCCUCAGUAUCAGUAUGGCUUUAGCUUACCCUAAUUAUAUAACUUUGAUUUUAUUUUAGGCAUGGAGGUUAUGGAUUGAAGAAAGGCCAGAGGAGUUAAUGGCUGACAAAUUAUAUGAUGAGGCCAUAAGUUCAAAAAUAUUAAGAUUUAUUCAUGUGGGUCUAUUGUGUGUACAACGGAAAUCGGAAAAUAGGCCCAACAUGUCAUCUGGGAUUUUUAUGUUAAAGGGUGAAAAGUUACUCCCAAAACCAUGUGAACCCGAGUUCUACAAGGAAGAGAUAAUACAAAUAGCACAUCUUCUUCAAAGAGGUGUUCAAUAAAUGAAAGCUUCAAUCUCAUUGUUAGAAGCUCCAUAGAACGUCCACUGAUAUUGGUUUUCCCAAAUGUUGAGAUAGAUAGAGCAUAGAAUAAAUGUUGAGAUACUAU